rnacentral:rRNA from 1 species
GAUGAACGCUAGCGGCAGGCUUAAUACAUGCAAGUCGAGGGGUAGCAAGAUUGUAGCAAUACAAUUGUUGACGACCGGCAAACGGGUGCGGAACACGUACACAACCUUCCUACAAGUGGGGAAUAGCCCAGAGAAAUUUGGAUUAAUACCCCGUAACAUAGCGAUGUGGCAUCACAUUGCUAUUAUAGCUUCGGCGCUUGUUGAUGGGUGUGCGGCUGAUUAGAUAGUUGGCGGGGUAACGGCCCACCAAGUCCACGAUCAGUAGCUGAUGUGAGAGCAUGAUCAGCCACACGGGCACUGAGACACGGGCCCGACUCCUACGGGAGGCAGCAGUAAGGAAUAUUGGACAAUGGGCGCAAGCCUGAUCCAGCCAUGCCGCGUGAGUGAAGAAGGCCUUCGGGUUGUAAAGCUCUUUUGUCCGGAAAGAAAAGCAUCCAGUUAAUACCUGGGUGUCCUGACGGUACCGGAAGAAUAAGCACCGGCUAACUUCGUGCCAGCCGCCGCGGUAAGAC